UACGUAGGGUGCAAGCGUUGUCCGGAAUUAUUGGGCGUAAAGAGCUCGUAGGCGGUCUGUCGCGUCGAAUGUGAAAACCCGGGGCUCAACCCCGGGCCUGCAUUCGAUACGGGCAGACUAGAGUUCGGUAGGGGAGUCUGGAAUUCCUGGUGUAGCGGUGAAAUGCGCAGAUAUCAGGAAGAACACCGGUGGCGCAAGCGGAUGGCUGGGCCAUAACUGACACUGAGGAACGAAAGCUAGGGGAGCGAAUGGG
rnacentral:rRNA from 1 species